rfam:Trichobilharzia regenti genome assembly, scaffold: TRE_scaffold0034197
CCCAAGGUUCCACUCGGAACCCUAGGAAAUAUAAUAAUAAUAAUAAU